rnacentral:rRNA from 1 species
UACGAAGGGGGCUAGCGUUGCUCGGAAUCACUGGGCGUAAAGGGUGCGUAGGCGGAUCUUUAAGUCAGGGGUGAAAUCCCGAGGCUCAACCUCGGAACUGCCUUUGAUACUGGGGAUCUCGAGUCCGGGAGAGGUGAGUGGAACUGCGAGUGUAGAGGUGAAAUUCGUAGAUAUUCGCAAGAACACCAGUGGCGAAGGCGGCUCACUGGCCCGGAACUGACGCUGAGGUGCGAAAGCGUGGGGAGCGAACAGG